rnacentral:rRNA from 1 species
GACGAACGCUGGCGGCGUGCUUAACACAUGCAAGUCGAACGGAAAGGCCCUGCCUUUGUGGGGUGCUCGAGUGGCGAACGGGUGAGUAACACGUGAGUAACCUGCCCCUUACUUUGGGAUAACUUCAGGUAACUGGGGUUAAUACCGGAUAUGAGCUCCUGCUGCAUGGUGGGGGUUGGAAAGUUGUGGCGGUGUGGGAUGGGCGCGCGGGCUACCAGCUUGUUGGUGGGGUGAUGGCUUACCAAGGCGUCGACGGGUAGCCGGCCUGAGAGGGUGACCGGCCACACUGGGACUGAGAUACGGCCCAGACUCCUACGGGAGGCAGCAGUGGGGAAUAUUGCACAAGGGGCGCAAGCCUGAUGCAGCGACGCCGCGGGGGGGAUGACGGCCUUCGGGUUGUAAACCCCUUUCAGCACAGACGAAGCGUAAGUGACGGUAGGUGCAGAAGAAGCACCGGCCAACUACGUG